rnacentral:rRNA from 1 species
GACGAACGCUGGCGGCGUGCUUAAUACAUGCAAGUCGAACGGACAGGCCAUGCUCUUGUGGGGUGCUCGUGUGGCGAACGGGUGAGUAAAACGUGUGUAUCCUGUACUUGUCUUUGGGAUAAAUCUAGGAAACUGGGGCUCAUAUCGGAUAGGAGCUCUUGCUGCAUGGUGGGGGUUGGUAAGAUUCGGUGGUUUGGGAUGGACUCGAAGCUUCUCCGCUUGAUGGUGGGGUAGUGGCUUACCAAGGUUUUGAAGGGUAGGCGGCCUGAGAGGGUGACCGGCCACAUUGGGACUGAGAGACGGCCCAGACGCCUACGGGAUGCAGCAGUGGAGAAUAUUGCGGAAUAGGCGGAAGCCUGAUACAACAGCGCCGCGUGCGGAAUAACGUCCUUCGAGUUAUAAACCGCUUUCGCCUGUGACGAAGCGUGAGUGACGGUAAUGGGUAAGAAAGCACCGGCUAACUACGUG